CUUAUUUAUGUCGAACAAAAUAAGUUGUAUGACGUGUCAAGCAUGGCAGAAGUUCAGGAAUCCGCUAUUAUCGAUGUCGAAAAUGAACAAAAACCAAGAAGCAAUCAACUGGAACAAACAGAGUUAAAGUUUCAAGAUUUUGAAAUAUCAAAAGACUUUGAACUUUCUUCUGAUGUGUAUCAAAAUAUUUCCCAAUCAAUGUAUUCAGGUGAAGAACAAGAUAAUGA